GACGAACGCUGGCGGCGUGCUUAACACAUGCAAGUCGAACGGAAGGGCCCUGCUUUUGUGGGGUGCUCGAGUGGCGAACGGGUGAGUAACACGUGAGUAACCUGCCCUUGACUUUGGGAUAACUUCAGGAAACUGGGGCUAAUACCGGAUAGGAGCUCCUGCUGCAUGGUGGGGGUUGGAAAGUUUCGGCGGUUGGGGAUGGACUCGCGGCUUAUCAGCUUGUUGGUGGGGUAGUGGCUUACCAAGGCUUUGACGGGUAGCCGGCCUGAGAGGGUGACCGGCCACAUUGGGACUGAGAUACGGCCCAGACUCCUACGGGAGGCAGCAGUGGGGAAUAUUGCACAAUGGGCGGAAGCCUGAUGCAGCAACGCCGCGUGCGGGAUGACGGCCUUCGGGUUGUAAACCGCUUUCGCCUGUGACGAAGCGUGAGUGACGGUAAUGGGUAAAGAAGCACCGGAUAACUACGUG
rnacentral:rRNA from 1 species